rnacentral:rRNA from 1 species
AGAGUUUGAUCCUGGCUCAGGACGAACGCUGGCGGCGUGCUUAACACAUGCAAGUCGAACGGGCCCGCCCCUUUGGGGGUGGGUUGAGUGGCGAACGGGUGAGUAUCACGUGAGUAACCUGCCCCCUGCUCCUGGAUAACUGCUUGAAAGGGCGGCUAAUACGGGGUGUGCCGGCUGGUCCGCAUGGGCCUGGUCGGGAUAGUUUCAUCUUCGGGUGUUUCGGUGGGGGAUGGGCUCGCGGCCUAUCAGCUUGUUGGUGGGGUGAUGGCCCACCAAGGCGGUGACGGGUAGCCGGCCUGAGAGGGUGGGCGGCCACACUGGGACUGAGACACGGCCCAGACUCCUGCGGGAGGCAGCAGUGGGGGGUAUUGCACAAUGGGCGGAAGCCUGAUGCAGCGACGUCGCGUGAGGGAUGGAGGCCUUCGGGUUGUGAACCUCUUUCUCCGGUGGUGAAGGCCCUGUCCGUUGCGGCGGGGUUGACGGUAGCCGGGUAUGAAGCGCCGGCUAACUACGUGCCAGCAGCCGCGGUGAUACGUAGGGCGCGAGCGUUGUCCGGAAUUAUUGGGCGUGAAGGGCUUGUAGGCGGCCGGUCGCGUCCGCCGUGAAAUUCUCCGGCUCAACCGGGGGCUUGCGGUGGGUACGGGCCGGCUGGAGUGCGGUAGGGGAGGCUGGAACUCCUGGUGUAGCGGUGGAAUGCGCAGAUAUCAGGAAGAACACCGGUGGCGAAGGCGGGUCUCUGGGCCGUUACUGACGCUGAGGAGCGAAAGCGUGGGGAGCGAACAGGAUUAGAUACCCUGGUAGUCCACGCUGUAAACGUUGGGCACUAGGUGUGGGGGCCACCCGUGGUUUCUGCGCCGUAGCUAACGCUUUAAGUGCCCCGCCUGGGGAGUACGGCCGCAAGGCUAAAACUCAAAGGAAUUGACGGGGGCCCGCACAAGCGGCGGAGCAUGCGGAUUAAUUCGAUGCAACGCGAAGAACCUUACCAAGGCUUGACAUGCA